AUAUGGUCUAUUAGCUCAGUCGGUAGAGCACCUGACUUUUAAUCAGGGUGUCCCGCGUUCGAGUCGCGGAUAGAUCACCAAUGGAGAGGUGUCCGAGUGGUUUAAGGAGCUGGUCUUGAAAACCAGUGACUUCGAAAGGGGCCGUGGGUUCGAAUCCCACCCUCUCCGCCAAAAAAAUGACUGAAUUUGGAGAAGUACUCAAGUGGCUCAAGAGGAUCCCCUGCUAAGGGAUUAGGCUGGGUAACCGGUGCGAGGGUUCGAAUCCCUCCUUCUCCGCCAUUCAAAAACGAGGUGUAGCGCAGUUUGGUAGCGCACAUGGUUUGGGACCAUGGGGCCGGGGGUUCGAGUCCCUUCACCUCGACCAACUUAAGCUUUUAGUUCAGUUGGUUAGAGUGCCCAACUCAUGGCUAGUAAUUCUAGGGUUUGAGUCCAUGAAGGUUAUUCUUCAUAGGGGUGUAGCUCAGUUGGUAGAGCGUCGGUCUCCAAAACCGUGCGCCGGGGGUUCGAGUCCCUCCACCCCUGCCAAAUAAAAAGGACUUGAAAAAAGUUGGAUUUUAGAGUAGUAUAAGAUAGUAAAUAAGAUUUCGAGGUGUAGCGCAGUUUGGUAGCGCACAUGGUUUGGGACCAUGGGGCCGGGGGUUCGAGUCCCUUCACCUCGACCAAGAAAAGGGCCUAUAGCUCAGGUGGUUAGAGCGCACGCCUGAUAAGCGUGAGGUCGCUGGUUCGAGUCCAGCUAGGCCCACCAUUUGCCCAGAUAGCUCAGUCGGUAGAGCAGGGGACUGAAAAUCCCCGUGUCGGUGGUUCGAUUCCGCCUCUGGGCACCAGGAAUACGGCGGUAUAGCUUAGUUGGCUAGAGCGUUCGGUUCAUACCCGAAAGGUCAUAGGUUCGACUCCUAUUACCGCUACCAUCUAACUAUAUCAAUAAAGAACUUUGAAAAUUAAACAGUAGGUUAAUUUAUAAAACAAGAAACAAACCAUAAAGCCAGAUAUUUUGAUAACAAUAGUAUCUGAGCCUGAUAAACUUUUAUUUGAGAGUUUGAUCCUGGCUCAGGAUGAACGCUGGCGGCGUGCCUAACACAUGCAAGUUGAGCGAUUUACUUCGGUAAAGAGCGGCGGACGGGUGAGUAACGCGUGGGUAACCUACCCUGUACACACGGAUAACAUACCGAAAGGUAUGCUAAUACGGGAUAAUAUAUUUGAGAGGCAUCUCUUNAGAUAGCUGGUUCUCCCCGAAAUAGCUUUAGGGCUAGCCUCAAGGUGAGAGAUACGGAGGUAGAGCACUGAAUGUCCUAGGGGGUAUUGCACCUACCGAAGACUAUCAAACUCCGAAUGCCGUCAUCUUAUACUUGGGAGUCAGACUGUGGGUGAUAAGAUUCAUAGUCGAAAGGGCAACAGCCCAGAUCGUCAGCUAAGGUCCCUAAAUGUAAGUUAAGUGGUAAAGGAUGUGGGAUUGCACAGACAACCAGGAUGUUGGCUUAGAAGCAGCCACUCAUUCAAAGAGUGCGUAAUAGCUCACUGGUCGAGUGAUCCUGCGCCGAAGAUUUCCGGGGCUAAAACUUACUACCGAAGCUACGGCAUCAGUAAUGAUGGGUAGGGGAGCUUCCCAUACGGGUUGAAGCAUGACCGUAAGGACAUGUGGACAGUAUGGGAGUGAGAAUGUUGGCAUGAGUAGCGAGAUGUGGGUGAGAAUCCCACAGGCCGUAAACCCAAGGUUUCCAGGGGAAGGUUCGUCCGCCCUGGGUUAGUCGGGACCUAAGCUGAGGCCGAAAGGCGUAGGUGAUGGACAACAGGUUGAUAUUCCUGUACUACCGAUAACCGUUUGAGAGAAGGGAUGACACAGUAGGAUAAGCUAAGCACACUGUUGGUUAUGUGUGCCCAAGCAUUGAGGCAGUCAAAGUAGGCAAAUCCGCUUUGAUAAUGCUGGGAUGUGAUGGGGAGCGAAAUUUAGUAGCGAAGUAGCUGAUUUCACACUGUCAAGAAAAGUCUCUAUCGAGGUUAAAGGUACCCGUACCGCAAACCGACACAGGUGGGUGAGGAGAGUAUCCUAAGGCCAGCGAGAGAACUGUUGUUAAGGAACUCGGCAAAAUGACCCCGUAACUUAGGGAUAAGGGGUGCCACCAUCAGGUGGCCGCAGAGAAUAGGCCCAAGCGACUGUUUACCAAAAACAUAGGUUUCUGCUAAGUCGCAAGACGAUGUAUAGGAGCUGACGCCUGCCCGGUGCUGGAAGGUUAAGGGGAUCUGUUAGAGCAAUCGAAGCAGUGAACUUAAGCCCCAGUAAACGGCGGCCGUAACUAUAACGGUCCUAAGGUAGCGAAAUUCCUUGUCGGGUAAGUUCCGACCCGCACGAAAGGCGUAACGAUUUGGGCACUGUCUCAACAACAGACUCGGUGAAAUUGUAAUUCCGGUGAAGAUGCCGGAUACCUGCGACAGGACGGAAAGACCCCAUGGAGCUUUACUGUAGCUUGACAUUGGGUCUUGGUACUACAUGUACAGGAUAGGUGGGAGGCUUUGAAACCAGGACGCCAGUUUUGGCGGAGCCAUCCUUGGGAUACCACCCUUGUAGUACUGGGACUCUAACCAUAGGCCAUGAAUCUGGUCUUGGGACACUGUCAGGUGGGCAGUUUGACUGGGGCGGUCGCCUCCCAAAAGGUAACGGAGGCGCUCAAAGGUUCUCUCAGUACGGUCGGAAAUCGUACGUAGAGUGUAAAGGCAAAAGAGAGCUUGAUUGCAAGACAUACAGGUCGAGCAAGGAUGAAAAUCGGACUUAGUGAUCCGGUGGUUCUGCGUGGAAGGGCCAUCGCUCAACGGAUAAAAGCUACCCUGGGGAUAACAGGCUUAUCUCCCCCAAGAGUCCACAUCGACGGGGAGGUUUGGCACCUCGAUGUCGGCUCAUCACAUCCUGGGGCUGUAGUAGGUCCCAAGGGUUGGGCUGUUCGCCCAUUAAAGUGGUACGCGAGCUGGGUUCAGAACGUCGUGAGACAGUUCGGUCCCUAUCCGUCGCAGGCGUAGGAAAUUUGAGAAGACCUGUCCUUAGUACGAGAGGACCGGGAUGGACGUACCUCUGGUGUACCAGUUGUCCUGCCAAGGGCAUGGCUGGGUAGCUAUGUACGGAAUGGAUAAGCGCUGAAAGCAUCUAAGCGCGAAGCCAACUUCAAGAUAAGAUUUCCCACCGCAAGGGUAAGACCCCAGAAAGACUAUCUGGUUGAUAGGUCGAAGGUGUAAGUGCAGCAAUGUAUUUAGCUUAUCGAUACUAAUAGGUCGAGGACUUGACCAA
rnacentral:rRNA from 1 species